GAAAGAUAGCCGGUGGUGAAACUGCUGUUUCAUCGCCUUCUGUGUGUCCUCCUCGCCUCUGUCCUAUCCCCAGUGGAAGAGAAGGUGCAAGGCGGGCAGAGGAAGAGAGAGUGGGGUGCAGCGGGCAGCAUGCGCCACUGUGGGCAGCUUAGCAUGUGGGAGAGGAGAGGGUGGUGGGCACCAACAUGAGAUGGGCACAAACCAGAUCUCCCUCAGGAACCUGGGUUUUUAUUCCUAGGGUGCUGGAAGCCAUGGGGUGGGGGUUGGCGAGGGCCGGGUUGGAUAGAAAAGAUCCAGCAUUCUGUCUUCUCUUGGGCGUGUUACCCUGGAGGCGUUGGUGCAUCCGAGUGGGAAUGUCACGCAGGCGAUGGGACGUCAGAGAAGAGGUCGGAGUGGAGACAGCCACAGGGUCAUUGGCGGUGGGUGGGAUUCAGCGCAUGGAGCCAUCACAGCACCUUUCCUGACACGGGCUGCUGUGUGCCAGCAUCGUUCUGCGGGUCUGAGAGAACUCACUUCACUGCUCCCUCAGCCCUCACCGUGACACUGUGGCUGAUCUACCAGGUGGGGGAUUGAGGCCCACAGGUGUUAAGGUGCCCAAGAUCACCCCUAGAACGUGGGAGGGCAGUGAUUUGAACCCAGGUGAUGUGCCUCCAGGCUUCAUGCUCUAACCACGAGGCUGUGUUUCACCCUUUGCAGGCGAGUAUAGUGAGGGAAGAGAGGUAGCCCAACACUUAGUGCUCGAUAGCGUUACUUUUCUUGUUUCUCCCUUCUUCAGGGAAAGAGGACUCCACAUAGAGAAGCGGAGUAAGACGUGGGGAGAGCAUAUCGGGCGGCAUGGGGCCCAGAAGAACUGAGGGACUGAGGCUCAGGAGCCACCGCUGAACUGGGGGGCUCGCCUUCGAAGGCGGAGGCGUGGCUGAGCGCGGUGCUGAGUCAAGACCAUUAUGUGGAUGUUUAAUUCCAGAAAAGGCGGUCUCGUUUCAUAGGAAAGAUCCAUUCUGCGUGGAUGACCUUUCGUAACUCGAGAAUCAUUGAAUAGGAAUAAAUGUAAAAAGUGGAAGAAAUAAUGUUCAGAGUGCAUAGAUCUACAACUAUUGGAACUGUUUUUUGUGUUUGUUUUUUUUGCUUUAAUAUACUUUAUUUUCUCAGCAUUUUCACUGUGUUUUUUUUGAAUGCAUAUAAAUUAAUAGUUCACAUGUCUUCAUG